GGGUUGUGAGGUUAAGCGACUAAGCGUACACGGUGGAUGCCCUGGCAGUCAGAGGCGAUGAAGGGCGUGCUAAUCUGCGAUAAGCGCCGGUAAGGUGAUAUGAACCGUUAUAACCGGCGAUACCCGAAUGGGGAAACCCAGUGUGAUUCGUCACACUAUCAUUAACUGAAUCCAUAGGUUAAUGAGGCGAACCGGGGGAACUGAAACAUCUAAGUACCCCGAGGAAAAGAAAUCAACCGAGAUUCCCCCAGUAGCGGCGAGCGAACGGGGAGGAGCCCAGAGCCUGAAUCAGCAUGUGUGUUAGUGGAAGCGUCUGGAAAGGCGCGCGAUACAGGGUGACAGCCCCGUACACAAAAGCGCAUGUGCUGUGAGCUCGAUGAGUAGGGCGGGACACGUGGUAUCCUGUCUGAAUAUGGGGGGACCAUCCUCCAAGGCUAAAUACUCCUGACUGACCGAUAGUGAACCAGUACCGUGAGGGAAAGGCGAAAAGAACCCCGGCGAGGGGAGUGAAAAAGAACCUGAAACCGUGUACGUACAAGCAGUGGGAGCCCCACCACUAAGCCAGUGGUGAACUCCACAUCCGCAUCCUUUGCUGAGGAUACGGUUAACGGAGCGAAAGCGACGUUCAACCGCAAAACAAGCAGAGGGGGCUUAGUGGUGGGGUGACUGCGUACCUUUUGUAUAAUGGGUCAGCGACUUAUAUUCUGUAGCAAGGUUAACCG
rnacentral:rRNA from 1 species